rnacentral:rRNA from 1 species
AUGGUUUGCGGGAAAACUCUUCUCUCUCUGGUCUCACUUCGAGUCCUUCUAGAAGUAAAUAAAGUAAAUGCUUAUUCAACUACGGCACUGUCAGACAACCGACCGGAUUCAAGCCCUAGCCCCUCAACUCGGACGGACUUGUGGAAAUCCUCGAAAACAAGUAUUGCUCAACUCACCUAUCUAUAA